AUUCAGCGAGAUCGCGGGCAGCUGGAAGACAGGUUGAAUCUCACACAGCAUGCUUGAAAUAUUUUUCACUGUGAGGAAGAUAUGGUACAUGAUCAUUGCCGUUAUUGGUGUUCCCGUGAAUUUAGUGGCGAUUACGAUCCUGUCCCGGAGAAAGUGCGGCCUCUCCACCUGCACCACGCGGUACCUGGUGGCCAUGGCAACGGCGGAUCUACUAACCAUCAUCUUUGAUGUGACACUGUGGCAGAUCAGUUAUUAUUACUUCCCCGGGACUUUCCUGGACAUCACCCCCGUGUGCAGCGCGAUCUCUGCCCUGGCAGAGGCAGCCACUGACUGUUCUGUCUGGUUCACCGUCAUGUUUACAUUUGAUCGGUUUGUCGCCAUCUGUUGCCAGAAGCGGAAAGCGAAGUAUUGCACCGGGAAAACUGCGGCUGUGGUUCUGACGGCAACUGGCACUCUGCUCUGUUUCAUAAAUGUGCCCUAUUUCUUUAUAUAUCAUCCAGCGAAAGUGGUUGACAAUAUACCCUGGGACUGUAUUCCAAAACCAGGAUACUAUCAAUAUCCCGUGUGGGUUGGGUAUAGGUGGUUAGCUACCGUUCUAUCGCCAUUACUCCCGUUCGUGUUAAUACUGCUGUUCAACGCUCUGACAGUCAGACACAUUUUGGUGACUAGUCGCGUCCGUAAGGGGCUGAGGGGUCAGAGCAAGGCGGAGAACCGCAGUGACCCGGAGAUGGAGAGCAGGAGGAGGUCUGUGAUCUUACUUCUCACCAUCUCCGGAAGCUUCAUCAUCCUGUGGUCGGUGACUGUUGCCGAAUUCCUUUAUUACACCAUCGCCGGAUUGGAUCCAAAUAAUUACAACGAUUCGGAACAAAUAUUUGUUCAGUCCGGAUACAUGCUGUUGAUACUAAGUUGCUGCACAAACACGUUUAUUUACGGGAUAACUCAGUCCAAGUUCAGAGAGCAGUUCAUCAGCGCAGCGAAAUAUCCGCUCACGUCAAUUAUACAGCUAAUUAAUAAUCAAAACGUCUAGGUUCUUCUCAGCUCAGAGCCACCCGUAGUAAUUUCAAUCUUGUUAGUACAGACUCUGCGGUCAUCGGAGAAUGUGGACGCGGGGAAAAUAAAACUGGUUCAGCGCCUGAGAGAGAGGCACAGAGCACAGUUACAGACCCUCGUCACCCGCAGUCCCCGACCUGCUUCUCCUACCAAUAAUUACGUUCACACUACCUCUUAUUUUUAUUUCACCAUUUUCCCGUACUUGUCCCCACCGCACCCCUUUCGACAACGAAUACCGCACCCUAAUUGGCCAUUCAUCCGGUGACCUACAAAGCCGUUUCGUCUCGGUGACAGAAAGGUAUCGGGACACCUAGUGGAAAUACUGCCUUCACGAGGAGAUGGUUGGAAUUCACACUGAGCGCCCCGGAGAUCAGUUCGAGUCUGGCCCGUACUCAGAAAUUUAGCUGAUUACACCCAACAUCGGCACGUCCUUUUAUAUGCGAUAAGCAGUCAGAAUCCACGUAGACAGACAUCGUAACUUCAACUCUGAGUGUACCUUUGUCCAGUGAGUUGGUAUCAAAUUUGUGAUGUGUUCACCAGCAAAGAGAAAUUCUGAACAAGGUCUAAUUAUCAUCUGCAGAAAGUUUUUCUCUGAAGUUGUCUUUCAUGAAACUACGAGGAGGGAGUCUUUAUUCCUCAUUUCCCUAGGUAACAAAGAACUUCAAGAAAUUCAACACCGUAGAAUCGGCCAAUAGGCACUUUAGGACGGCUUUGAGCCAAGGCCAGAUGGUUAAUUCAGACGUUUAAACUACCUGGGAUAAGAGCAUUAACCACUGGGUCCAGGAGCGGAAUUUGUUCAUUCGCUUCAUCGAGCUCUCCGCCUUUCCUUCUCGAGUGAUCUGUUCCACAACUCCAAACUCUUUCCUUCUCCCAGAAACAGUUAGACCCCUCACCAUUCGAGAAAAUUUAAACCCUUUUCUUCGCUACAUCCAAUGUCUUUGUGUCCACAACUUCUGUGCCAUCGAAUUCGAGUCCCCUUGAUAUGAGUGCCGGCAUUGCAUUUGUCUUCGUUACCACCGAUUUAACCUGCAGGGUAGCCAUCAGGAAAUCCAGAACAAGGAGCCAUAACUCUAUAUGUAUCUCUUAUUUCUGACUUUCCCCCCAUUUACAACCUCUCUACACAUUAAUCGUUCGUUUCUAAAUGUAUCCCCCACACCUCCAUACCUGUCACUACUUUGCCCACUUACUUAAUCUGAUCCCUGCCGGCGGCACUAUCUGCCUCUGCAGGUAAAUACUUUCCAUCUGAAUCUCACUCUUGAGCUCGCUCUCCAACGUUGAAAGUUUUAUCAACCCUGGCGUAGAAUGCAUUUAUUGAAAGUUACAGAAUAUCUCUCUGAUGUUCCACGCUCCCUACCCCCUCCUUUAUUCCUGAUCCCAGCCACGAAAUCCCUCACCCUGCCCCGAUUCCACUCUCAUCCCGCAUCGGAGACCUACGUCAGAAUCAGCGUCAGCAUCACUUAACAUAGUUCAUGGCUUUCUCUUCCCAAUCGGAACACGUUGACGACGAUAUUUCACUGUGGAGUCUGAAUAUCGAUUAAGGGAUUCAAGAAACAAAAGCGACAUUGAAACAGCUGCAAGGCCAUGUUGUAGAAACUAGGAUUAUUCACAGCGGAAGGAAAGAAGAACAAUAAAUUGGGAGGACAGAUUAAUAGGCCAUUCUGCCAGAGAGAGGAAAGGAUUAAGCAUGAAGUCGAUUUCAAACUGCAAAUGAAGAGAGGGUUAAUAUGCAGUUCACAUGAAAUGUAGAAUUAGUGAGAGAGGACGUCAGCAGUGCAGCGACAAUCGACAAAUGAGAGACAUUCAGUCGGGUAAUAUGAGAGUGUGUGUUUCAUUCAUCACCAGACUUUCGCCAGUAUAGUGUGAAGAGUGGUGGUUAAUUUUGCAUUCAUCUAUCUCCUGUGCAAUGAGAGACUGUGGGGGUCAAUUUUGCAGAAUUCAAUCCCUGCUACAGGCUGGCAGUGUGAGGUUCUUUAGUUCUCAUUCUCUGGUUCAGUGUGAGAGUGUGCAGUUCAAAUUGUGCAGAUCAGUCUCUGCUACAGUGUGAGAGUGUGGGUUUCAUUCUGUAUCUGUCAGUCUCUGUUACAGUGUGAGAGUGUGGGGUUCAUUCUGCAUCUGUCAGUCUCUGCUACAUUGUGAGAGUGUGGGUUUCAUUCUGUACCUGUCAGUCUCUGUUACAGGGUGAGAGUCUGGGUGACAAUCUGUAUUUUACGUGCCUUGAUUCCAGCGUUAAGUGUGCCGUUUCAUUUCGGUCCAUCUGAUUCAGUGUGAGCGAGUGUAUUUUUUCUCCUUCUUUCCCACUGUUCCUCAAACCUAUUAAAUAAUCUUAAAAUAGAUUCUAUAUUUCCCGAGCUAUUUUUUAGAACAGGAGUCUCCUGCAGUUGGUUUAUGUUAUAAUUGUGAGAUGGACAGUGCACUGACGAAUGAUGACGGUUGUAUCGAGCAGGACAUUUGGCGUUGUAGAGUCAUAUGACAAACAGACCAUUCGGCCCGGCAUCAUUCUGCAAGCUUUUCGU